rnacentral:lncRNA from 1 species
UUAUAUUCUCAUAUCCUGACAAAAGGGAAGAGAGGAGAUUGUAGUAGGAGAGUAUCAUGGGAUACUCUCUUUAAUAUUUACACAGAAUUAUGAAGGGAUACACAAGAAGGUGAAUUCCCCUUUUAAGAAAUAUAACUGUUAAUAAAAGGAAAGCAAUUUUCCAUUUUGCACAAAUUUAGGACAGAAAUAUUCAAAGAGGGUAGUGACUACAGUUUCUUCACACUUAGAUGAGAGAAUAAACAAAUACACAACAGUAGUGAUGGUAAUUAUCAGAGGAAGAAUUAUUACCAUAUAUAUAUAUAUAUAUAUAUAUAUAUAUACUUCAUUAAAAUGGAUAUAUCUUUUCUCAUAUAGAGAAAUAAAAACUUGAUUGUGAAGAUAAAUGGGUCUCAGCAGUUGCUAAGAAAAUGACUGGUUACUUUCUGUCCCUUUUGAGGAGCAUGCAGAGAAAUUGCUUUAGCCUCUGAUAAAUAAAACAGACUGCGAGGAAAAUUACAGCGAGGAAAUUACAGACAUCAUCUCCUUUGAACAGGGAAAAGGUAACAGUUUAGGAAAAUGCAAGAAGACAUAUGUAGAUGAGACAAAGAUAGACCAUGUCUAUACAUGUAUGAAAUGGAUGGGAGACAAAGGAAGCAACACUCAUGAGCCAGGACCAUAAAAGCCACAGAAAUAUAAGAAAUGAAUGGGACUACUCUCUGAUCAUUGAAAAAGAGAGACAGAACAUUCGAUGGAGGCAGAAAGAGCAAGGAGUCAGCAGCAGGCAUGGCAUGACAAGCAACCCAGGAACCAUGGGGCAGCAGAAGAGACAGCUCUAUGCAAUCUCACAGUACAAUCAUGUCUGAAAGUACACACUUCUAAAAGUCAUACAUUUCUUGCAAGCAUCAUUUCAGAUGGCUGGAUAGAAGUUUGAAGCAGGCUAAUAAAACUUUGGAAGUGGCAUUUUUUACCUUU